rnacentral:rRNA from 1 species
UUGGGCUUCGGGUAGUGGCGCACGGGUGCGUAACGCGUGGGAACCUGCCUUUAGGUUCGGAAUAACUCAGAGAAAUUUGAGCUAAUACCGGAUAAUGUCUUCGGACCAAAGAUUUAUCGCCUUUAGAUGGGCCCGCGUUAGAUUAGAUAGUUGGUGGGGUAACGGCCUACCAAGUCGACGAUCUAUAGCUGGUCUGAGAGGAUGAUCAGCCACACUGGGACUGAGACACGGCCCAGACUCCUACGGGAGGCAGCAGUGGGGAAUAUUGGACAAUGGGCGAAAGCCUGAUCCAGCAAUGCCGCGUGAGUGAUGAAGGCCUUAGGGUUGUAAAGCUCUUUUACCAGGGAUGAUAAUGACAGUACCUGGAGAAUAAGCUCCGGCUAACUCCGUGCCAGCAGCCGCGGUAAUACGGAGGGAGCUAGCGUUGUUCGGAAUUACUGGGCGUAAAGCGCGCGUAGGCGGUCUAUUAAGUCAGGGGUGAAAUCCCGGAGCUCAACUCCGGAACUGCCCUUGAAACUGGCAGACUAGAAUCUUGGAGAGGCGAGUGGAAUUCCGAGUGUAGAGGUGAAAUCCGUAGAUAUUCGGAAGAACACCAGUGGCGAAGGCGACUCGCUGGACAAGUAUUGACGCUGAGGUGCGAAAGCGUGGGG